rnacentral:tRNA from 1 species
GGUAAAGAGUGGAAUUAAACCAAUGUGAACAGGACUACAGCCUGCCGCCUUCCAGUCGGCCACUUUACC